UACGUAGGGUGCAAGCGUUGUCCGGAAUUAUUGGGCGUAAAGAGCUCGUAGGCGGUUUGUCGCGUCUGCUGUGAAAAUCCAGGGCUUAACCCUGGACCUGCAGUGGGUACGGGCAGACUAGAGUGCGGUAGGGGAGAUCGGAAUUCCUGGUGUAGCGGUGAAAUGCGCAGAUAUCGGGAGGAACACCAGUGGCGAAGGCGGCACUCUGGGCCGGUACUGACGCUGAGGAGCGAAAGCGUGGGGAGCGAACAGG
rnacentral:rRNA from 1 species